CCUACGGGUGGCUGCAGUGAGGAAUAUUGGUCAAUGGACGCGAGUCUGAACCAGCCAUGUAGCGUGAAGGAAGACUGCCCUCUGGGUUGUAACCUUCUUUUAUAUGGGAAUAAGAUUUUCCACGUGUGGGAUUUUGUAUGUACCUUAUGAAUAGAGAUCGGCUAACUCCGUGCCAGCAGCCGCGGUAAUACGGAGGAUCCGAGCGUUAUCCGGAUUUAUUGGGUGUAAAGGGAGCGUAGGUGGAUUGUUAAGUCAGUUGUGAAAGUUUGCGGCUCAACCGUAAAAUUGCAGUUGAUACUGGCAGUCUAGAGUACAGUAGAGGUGGGCGGAAUUCGUGGUGUAGCGGUGAAAUGCGUAGAGAUCACGAAGAAUACCGAUUGCGAAGGCAGUUCACUGGACUGCAACUGACACUGAGGCGCGAAAGUGUGGGUAUCAAACAGGAUUAGAUACCCCGGUAGUC
rnacentral:rRNA from 1 species